rfam:Bacteroidetes bacterium GWF2_41_31 gwf2_scaffold_41, whole genome shotgun sequence.
GGAGAGGUGCUCGAGUGGCUGAAGAGGCUCGCCUGGAAAGCGGGUAUACCCCAAAAGGGUAUCGCGGGUUCGAAUCCCGCUUUCUCCG